rnacentral:rRNA from 1 species
GGAGGAAAAGAAACUAACAAGGAUUCCCCUAGUAACGGCGAGUGAACCGGGAAGAGCUCAAAUUUGAAAUCUGGCGUCCUCAGGGCGUCCGAGUUGUAAUCUAUAGAGGCGUUUUCCGUGCCGGACCGUGUCCAAGUUCCUUGGAACAGGAUAUCAAAGAGGGUGACAAUCCCGUACUUGACACGACGACCGGUGCUCUGUGAUACGUCUUCUACGAGUCGAGUUGUUUGGGAAUGCAGCUCAAAAUGGGUGGUGAGUUCCAUCUAAAGCUAAAUAUUGGCGAGAGACCGAUAGCGAACAAGUACCGUGAGGGAAAGAUGAAAAGCACUUUGGAAAGAGAGUUAAACAGUACGUGAAAUUGUUGAAAGGGAAACGAUUGAAGUCAGUCGUGACCGAGAGGCUCAGCCGGUUCUGCCGGUGUAUUCCCCUCGGUCGGGUCAACAUCAGUUUUGUCCGGUGGAUAAGGGCGGUAGGAAGGUGGCACCCUCGGGUGUGUUAUAGCCUGCCGUCGCAUACAUCGGGUGAGACUGAGGAACGCAGCUCGCCUUUAUGGCCGGGGUUCGCCCACGUCCGAGCUUAGGAUGUUGACAUAAUGGCUUUAAACGACCCGUCUUGA